GCAUGCCUACGAUUUAGUGUUAAUGCAUUUGAUCCCAUUAGAACUCUACAGCUAACCGCACUUGGGCUAGAGUAGUAUUGGCAUGGGUGACCUCCCAGGAAGUCCUAGUAUUUUACAUGCC
rfam:Picea glauca, whole genome shotgun sequence.